rnacentral:lncRNA from 1 species
GUUGUACUGAGUGCUGAGGAGGGGGCACUGGGUGGCUUCCCUGAGCAAGCUGGUUGCUGAGCUGCACAGGCCCUUGCAUUUUCUGGGCUGUUCCCGUGUUUCAUUCCUCCCCUUCCUGGACAGUAUUUGAACAAGACGUAUUUUACUAAAGAACUCGUGGAUUGCGGGGUCCCACGACAUCACCUCAUAGAUGCAGUCGAUGGUUUGUUCCAGAUUCAGGCUUGUUUCCCGGAAGAAACCCUGACAGAAGUUCAGAAGAACGGGAGCUGCAUUCUGUGAGGACGUGAAUACAUGAAAUGCUCGUCUCAUGACCUUCUAGAAGAAUGAGCUGGGACCCACUUUCCGAGUCCUGCUGGAACCAGAGACCGAGGAAUAGGAUGCAGAACUUUCCUGAAGGUUUCAGAUGAAGCCCCAGAGCUCAGGAGGACUAAACAUGUGUCCUCUUCCCUGGCCAGAGGCAGUGAGGUCACUGCUACGACGCCCAACAGGGAACCUGAAGCAGAGAGGGAUUCAGGAGCAGACCAGUUACUGCUUGGCUCCCACAAAUGGUCGCCUUGGAACUCUUUAUGGAUGAAGAGAAAACACCCACCACCACCGUUUCAUAACCCUGCACCGAAUGUGGAGACAAUAACCACCUACCCCCAAAAGGAAACUCCAGCAGGGUACAUGUAUCAAACCUAA